UUUAAAUUGAGAGUUUGAUCCUGGCUCAGGACGAACGCUGGCGGCGUGCCUAACACAUGCAAGUCGAGC
rnacentral:rRNA from 4 species